UUGGCCAAGAUGGUUAAGAUAUGAUUCAUUCCUUGUUCACCAAGUUGCUAAAUAUUGUGUAGUGAGUGGAGUCACCAUAUGGCAUAACUGAGUUUCCUUAGGAGGCUGGGUACAAUAUUGUGUUGGGUAUAGAAUUUAGAAUUGCACAUGUCUGUGGUGGAAUAAAUGUGGAUGAGACAGCCAACUGCUAAUUUCAUUAAACUCUAAUGCAGACUAAGAUGCACAUGGCAAAUGGAUAUUGUGUCAUCCUGUAUGCAUCUCUGAGGUUGAUUUCUCUCAGAAACUGAUGGAGAGUAGGCAGUACCACACAUCUAGCCAAAGAUGCAAUCUUUGAAGGAAAACGUGUGUGGGCAAGCACAGUGCCAGCUGGGAGAGUCUAAAUGACUGAAGCCUGUGACUCACAUAUCUUAAAUUGCCUUAAAAUUAAUGAAGCUCUGUGGAAUGACUCAGUUCAUUCAUGUCCUCAGCUUGCAGGCUCCAAAGCUUGCAAAAAUGGCUGUGGUUCAAAGCUCAGGAGAGCAGACUCUAUAGAGGAAAGAGGGCCCACAAUGGGAGAAGAGGCAUUUUCUGUGGUGCAUAUGCUAGCAUCAUGGCUGGAGACAUAGCUGAGCUGAUCCCCAGUCUUCUCAGGAGAGGCAUGCAGAAUCCUCCCUGAGUCUGACUUUUGAUCCUUGUAAAAUGCAAAAGAGAUCUUGGGUAUCCAGGUUUUGCAAUGUUCAUAUUCUGAUUAGCCAGAAGCUUAAUAAGAACCAGCUUUUCUUUUGUUUUGUGAAUGAUUCUCAGUCUGUAACCUAGGGUGGCUUGGAUCUCACUGUACAGGCUAGGCUGGCUUCAAAUUUUCACCAAGUCACCAUCCCCAGCUUCAGAUAAAGUUCAAGUGUGAGAUGUGUACCUCUAAGUCACAGAAAACAAAUGAGGGACAUUAAAGUAUCCUAAGCCUUGGUUUUCCUCUUGUUCAAGAAUCUUAAGUCCAGUUAGAGAACUGUUAGCUACCACCAAGGUAUACAUGCCACGACUGCACCCAUAGGGUUAUUUCACCAUGCUGAUCAUUGCUGUGGAUCACAGCCAGGUAGGACUGUGGGUUGUAUCUUUCCUUUGACAGCUUGCACGGUGCCUUCUGGUACCAUGAAAAUUAGUUCUUAGGAACAGGCAUUCAGCUUAGUCCCAGCUCAGAUAACCCUGGGUCUUACAUCUGAAGUGCAUGAUACGUUUGGCCAUAGGGACGUAUCUUCCACCUCUGACAGGCAACCAAGGUCAGUAACAGUAAGCUUUAUAUUUUGGGAGCCUCUUAGACAGUCUGACCAACAAACAAUGCUAAGAGCACUUCUCAUGCCUCAUUUGGGGUUUUUGUUACAUGAUCUUUAGGUCUGAAAGGGGUCAUUGUCAAUCUAGAUGAGGAAAUUCCACUUAAACUAUAUAUGCAUAUCUAUACACAGAAUUCUCAAAAAAAUAAAGGAAGUAAUAAAAAUUAAGGCAACAACAACAACAACAAAAAAGACAUCUGACAGCCAAUAAAAGCAGCAUGUCAUCACCCCACAGUCUAAAUGACAGAAAGAAAACAGGGUCGCUGGAGCCCAGUGAGGACCAAAACAUGAGCUAAGUGCCCCUUUCCCCCAUGACUAGCCAAAGUCCCAGGGGGAAUGAUAUAGCAGAGUUCAGAAGAAGACAAUAGACAGAAACCACCAGAAUAUUAUCUUACCUCAUGGUGUCUGUCACUCCUUGGUUGAGCUCCAUGGAGGGAGGGCAUCCAAGUCAGGUGCUCAGAGGGGUUAGCUACACAUGAAAUAGAGGGGAGAAGAAAGGAAAAAGGCAGAGGAAGGUUCUGCAAAGGAUUGAAACAGGAAUGAGCCAGCAAGUGACUUAUACGUUUCUGGGUUAGGGGGAAAGAAAGGAUACUGCCCCAGGUUUCUUAUGAUGCAACUAAACAGUGGUUCUCCACUGCAGAGGUCCUGAGGGUAAGAGGAAGAUUGUCUUAGCUCUACAGUGCAUGGGAAUCUAAAGAGAAUCUAAUAAAAAUUGGUUUUGUUGGCAUCUUCUGAGUAUUCAUAAACAUCUAGGAAUACAUAGGGCAGGAUGCAGGGAGAUGCUCAGGAAAUAUAUGUUAGAUAAAUGACGCCUCUGAGAAAGAACCUGCUGGUGAUAAGCUCUACAAAUCUCAGGCAAAUGCUUGGGCUUAAGUUCUCUGAGUCAUCUUGAGUCUGGCUGUCACUGUAUGCUCUGAUUUCCUUGCACGAUGAAAAAUGAGAGGCCAACAUGAAGUAAUAAAUUAAUAAACAAGGAAGGGCUAAUAUGACAUCCUCUGCCUGUUGAUGCUCAAUCCUUUUGUAAGCAGCAGUGGUCAGGAAAGUGAGAUGUUUUGAACAUAUUCAAACACUCAGGAAACCAUUGCCUAACGGACAAAUAGAAGAGCCUAGGCAUUCUCUUAACAGUCAAGUCAAGGAUGCGGAGCUCCACUCUCGUCUCUUACUUGACACAAAUACUUAACCCAGUCAGCCUCAGAUUCCAUUUCCUGCCUGUCACAGGAUCAGUGUAAGGACCUAAUGAGGUAAUCUAUGUCAAGUUGGCAGGAAGAGCCUGAUAGGAACUAAUAUUCCCCUCCUUGCAGCUCUUUCUGAAAGGCUUGUUACGCUUCUCAGAAUUGAUUUAAACUGCAAAACUAAGGAAGAAAAGAGAUAUCUUCUGCAUUUUUUGAGCAUACGAUAGUGUUUUUAAAGGCACUUCUUUUAUUAUGGAGAGACAUAAGAUACAUAAGAGAAAGCCCAAGAGAUAGUGAUAUUUAUAGAAUACAUCAAAAUUGACAGUUUUUUUUGUAUUUGGGAAUAGAUGCUCCCAUGUGUCACUUAAGCAUGCAAGGAACAUGUAGUUAUAUUCUGCCAAUUCUCCUUUUCAGCUUUUGUACAGAGACUGCUACUGGCAGAGCCAGCAGCUGUCCCUCCACACUUUCAUGACGGUCAAAUGCAGUUCUCUCCAAAGAGGUUGAAAUGCCAACAUUUAUUUCACAGACUUCUAUGCAAAAACAAAAAUAAACAAAACCAUGACUGUAUCUACAUUAUAGUAUGCUGAUCAUUGGAGUAUGGAAAAUAUCUUUGAAGGAUUUUGAAAUAAGAUUUCUCUCCGCAGGACAAGAAAGAUGCACUGGGAAGCAAUCCCAAUUCUGCUUUGAGGAGUGUCUACUGUGAGACCAGUGGUUUGGGUAGAAUAGAGACGAAAAGAAUAGCAAGAGAACCCGAGAGAUGCUUCACCAAGGCCAGACUCCGGAUAUGAUUUGUAUAGCAGAGGCUUUGUCCUGUUGAUCUGUUUUCUGAAUUUCUGAGAUCAAAGACACAUCUCUGACUGGUGGCCUACACACUUGAUUCUUAAUUUCUUCUCCCGUUGCUGUGAAAAAAAAAUUAGCCUGACAAAAGCAAUGUGAAAGAGUCCCUUGCAGCUUGAAUUUCCAAGGUACAGUCUAUCACAGCAGGGAAGUCAAGGCAGCAGCUGAAGCUGCUUGUCAAGGCAGCAGG
rnacentral:sRNA from 1 species